AUUGAACGCUGGCGGCAUGCUUUACACAUGCCAGUCGAACGGUAACAGGCCGCAAGGUGCUGACGAGUGGCGAACGGGUGAGUAAUGCAUCGGAACGUGCCCAGUCGUGGGGGAUAACUACUCGAAAGAGUAGCUAAUACCGCAUACGAUCUAUGGAUGAAAGCGGGGGACCGUAAGGCCUCGCGCGAUUGGAGCGGCCGAUGUCAGAUUAGGUAGUUGGUGGGGUAAAGGCUCACCAAGCCAACGAUCUGUAGCUGGUCUGAGAGGACAACCAGCCACACUGGGACUGAGACACGGCCCAGACUCCUACGGGAGGCAGCAGUGGGGAAUUUUGGACAAUGGGCGCAAGCCUGAUCCAGCAAUGCCGCGUGCAGGAAGAAGGCCUUCGGGUUGUAAACUGCUUUUGUACGGAACGAAACGGCUCUGGUUAAUACCCGGGGCUAAUGACGGUACCGUAAGAAUAAGCACCGGCUAACUACGU
rnacentral:rRNA from 1 species